GACGAACGCUGGCGGCGUGCCUAAUACAUGCAAGUCGAACGAGAGCAACCGGUGCUUGCACUGGUCAAUCUAGUGGCGAACGGGUGAGUAACACGUGGGUAACCUGCCCAUCAGAGGGGGAUAACAUCCGGAAACGGAUGCUAAAACCGCAUAGGUCUUCGAACCGCAUGGUUUGAAGAGGAAAAGAGGCGCAAGCUUCUGCUGAUGGAUGGACCCGCGGUGCAUUAGCUAGUUGGUGAGGUAACGGCUCACCAACGCCGUGAUGCAUAGCCGACCUGUGAGGGUGAUCGGCCACAUUGGGACUGAGACACGGCCCAAACUCCUACGGGAGGCAGCAGUAGGGAAUCUUCCGCAAUGGACGCAAGUCUGACGGAGCAACGCCGCGUGAGUGAAGAAGGUUUUCGGAUCGUAAAACUCUGUUGUUAGAGAAGAACAAGUGCUAGAGUAACUGUUAGCGCCUUGACGGUAUCUAACCAGAAAGCCACGGCUAACUACGUG
rnacentral:rRNA from 1 species